AACUUUAAAUAUGGGUGAGGCACAUAGCACUAAAUACAUCAUUUGAUGCAACAGUAUUUAUACACGAAAGAAGAGCUGUAAAAAACAUUAUCUCUAGAGAAAGGAGAUUGAGAAAACAAAGUUGGCACUGAAUAAGCAAUUUUGUGGUUACAACCGAAUACCAUAAUGUGUGAUCGCCCUACAGGUCAGCCACAGGUCUGCCCUCCUGCCCCGACUUCUGGUGGCUGUUAUGUUAUGCCUCCAGGUGAACCCCCAAAAGGACAGGGGCAUGAACACGGGCAAGGGCACUGUCAUGGAGAAGGGCAUGGGCAUGAACAAGGACAUGGUCAUGGACGUGGUCGCGGACGUGGUCACGGGCGUGGUCACGGGCAUGAACAUGGUCACGGGCAUGAACAUGGUCAUGGGCCUGAGCAAGGGAAACAUCAGGAAAAGCAGUAAGAGAAUCAGGAGCUAUUCCAGAAGGACCUGCAUUAUACAGAUAAGCAUUAUGUCUCACAAAGUGAUUCAAACAGAGGUGGAAGACCAAAGAGGACCCAACCCAAAAGCCAAGCCAGAUUUAAAAAACUAAUAUAAAGCCUAUUGCCUCUGUGCCACCUUAAUCUACUUUUAUGUUUCAUCGUCUAUCAGUUGUUGAGUUGAAUUUUUCGCAUGGGGGAUGGCAUUGAUUAUGCUUAAAAGAUGAGUAUUUACUGACACAAGUAAAUAUCAUCUAUUGUAAGUCACAAAGUAGGCGGAGUACAGUAGAAGUAAGAACAAGUGCACAUUCUUGGAAUUAAAUUUGGAGUUUUAUUCUUACUUCUGCUGUACUCCGCCUUCUUUGUGACUUACAUUAUAUCUACUCUACGGAACUACAGCGUUUGCUUGCUGAGCAGUGGAUUUUAUUUUAUUUUAUUAAAUAUCUUCUAUGUCAAAUCCAUGUACCUACAAAGCUUCUAAAUUGGGCAAGCCCUGUAGUAUAAUAGAUUAUGUUUACCAGUUUAAAGCUAAUGUUAUUCUAGAGCUGUGAAGAAUCAGUUUAUUUUUGUAUUCUCUAGUACGUGUUGUAUACUGUACCAUCUACAGCGAAAUCCUGUUUACCAGAUAGAUACAGCUCUUAGAUAUCUUUAAUGCUAUCAUUAACUCUGUAUACUUUGCUAAAAUUAAACACCUCAUCAAAAAGCAGGCAUUCUUAUUUGCUAUGGUGUAAUACUGAUUUAAAAUAUAUCUAUGAAAUAUACUUAAUAAAAUGAUCCACAUAAACAAAA